rnacentral:tRNA from 1 species
GCCAGCAUAGCAUAGUGGUUUGAGCAUUGGACUAUGACUCUGGAGACCAAGGUUUGAAUCCUGGCUCAGCCA